GAUGAACGCUGGCGGCGUGCCUAAUACAUGCAAGUCGAGCGAACGGACGAGAAGCUUGCUUUUCUGAUGUUAGCGGCGGACGGGUGAGUAACACGUGGAUAACCUACCUAUAAGACUGGGAUAACUUCGGGAAACCGGAGCUAAUACCGGAUAAUAUUUUCAACCGCAUGGUUCAAAAGUGAAAGACGGUCUUGCUGUCACUUAUAGAUGGAUCCGCGCUGCAUUAGCUAGUUGGUAAGGUAACGGCUUACCAAGGCAACGAUGCAUAGCCGACCUGAGAGGGUGAUCGGCCACACUGGAACUGAGACACGGCCCAGACUCCUACGGGAGGCAGCAGUAGGGAAUCUUCCGCAAUGGGCGAAAGCCUGACGGAGCAACGCCGCGUGAGUGGUGAAGGUCUUCGGAUCGUAAAACUCUGUUAUUAGGGAAGAACAUAUGUGUAAGUAACUGUGCACAUCUUGACGGUACCUAAUCAGAAAGCCACGGCUAACUACGUG
rnacentral:rRNA from 1 species